UUGGUGUGAAUUGCAGAAUUCAGUGAAUCAUCGAAUCUUUGAACGCACAUUGCGCCCUUUGGUAUUCCAAAGGGCAUGCCUGUUCGAGCGUCAUUUGUACCCUCAAGCUUUGCUUGGUGUUGGGCGUCUUUUGUCUUUGGCCUCGCCCAAAGACUCGCCUUAAAACGAUUGGCAGCCGGCCUACUGGUUUCGCAGCGCAGCACAUUUUUGCGCUUGCAAUCAGCACAAGGACGGCAAUCCAUCAAGACUACAUUUUUACGUUUGACCUCGGAUCAGGUAGGGAUACCCGCUGAACUUAAGCAUAUCAAUAAGCGGAGGAA
rnacentral:rRNA from 1 species